UACGUAGGAGGCAAGCGUUGUCCGGAAUUACUGGGCGUAAAGUGUGCGCAGGCGGCUGAGCAAGUCGAGUGUGAAAGCCCCGGGCUUAACUUGGGAAUUGCGCUCGAAACUACUUGGCUGGAGUGUGGCAGAGGAGGGUGGAAUUCCUGGUGUAGCGGUGGAAUGCGCAGAUAUCAGGAGGAACACCGGUGGCGAAGGCGGGUCUCUGGGCAGUAACUGACGCUGAGGAGCGAAAGCGUGGGGAGCGAACAGG
rnacentral:rRNA from 1 species